rnacentral:rRNA from 1 species
CGAUUCUGGCUCAGGACGAACGCUGGCGGCGUGCUUAACACAUGCAAGUCGAACGAGGAUAUACCAGAGGAGAGCUUCGGCAGGAAUCGGGUAUAUUCGAGUGGCGGACGGGUGAGUAACGCGUGAGCGACCUGUCCCAGACAGGGGGAUAACACUUGGAAACAGGUGCUAAUACCGCAUAAGACCACGGUAUCACAUGGUAUUGGGGUAAAAGGAGCAAUCCGGUUUGGGGUGGGCUCGCGUCCGAUUAGAUAGUUGGUGAGGUAACGGCCCACCAAGUCGACGAUCGGUAGCCGACCUGAGAGGGUGAUCGGCCACAUUGGAACUGAGAGACGGUCCAAACUCCUACGGGAGGCAGCAGUGGGGAAUAUUGGGCAAUGGGCGAAAGCCUGACCCAAGCAACGCCGCGUGAGUGAAGAAGUAUUUCGGUACGUAAAGCUCUAUCAGCAGGGAAGAAAAUGACGGUACCUGACUAAGAAGCACCGGCUAAAUACGUGCCAGCAGCCGC